rnacentral:rRNA from 1 species
GCUGGGGUCCAUUGGACUCCGGCAUUGGAAUGAGAACAAUAUAAAUCUUUUAACGAGGAUCUAGUGGAGGGCAAGUCUGGUGCCAGCAGCCGCGGUAAUUCCAGCUCCGCAAGUGUAUAUCUAUGUUGCUGCGGUUAAAAAGCUCGUAGUUGGAUCUGCGUGUUUAGCAUCCGGUUCAACUUAUGGUUGUUACUGGAACGCGACACAGAUGUGCUGGUUUGGUGUUGAUGCUCUUAACCGGGUGUCAGCGUCGGCUAGCGAGUUUACUUUGAAAAAAUUAGAGUGCUCAAAACAGGCGUUUCGCCUGAAUAUUUCUGCAUGGAAUAAUAGAAUAGGACUUCGAUUCUAUUCUGUUGGUUUUCGGAAUGCGAAGUAAUGAUUAAGAGGGACAGACGGGGGCAUUCGUACUGCGACGUUAGAGGUGAAAUUCUUGGAUCGUCGCAAGACGUACUACUGCGAAGGCAUUUGCCAAGAAUGUUUUCAUUAAUCAAGAACGAAAGUUAUGGGUUCGAAGGCGAUCAGAUACCGCCCUAGUCAUAACCGUAAACGAUUCAAACUGGGCGCCCGUCGGUGUUUUUAUUGACCCGACGGGAACCCUCCCGGAAACGAAAGUGUUCGUGUUCCGGGGGAAAUAUGUCUGCAAAGAGGAAACUUAAAGGAAUUGACGGAAGGGCACCACCAGGGGUGGAGCCUGCGGCUUAAUUUGACCCAACACGGGGAAACUCACCCGGCCCGGACACCGUAAGGAGUGACAGAUUGAGAGCUCUUUCUUGAUUCGGUGGGUGGUGGUGCAUGGCCGUUCUUAGUUGGUGGAGUGAUUUGUCUGGUUUAUUCCGAUAACGAACGAGACUCUGGCCUGCUAACUAGUGUUCAGAUCUUUACGUCUGCUUCGCUUCUUAGAGGGACAGGCGGCUUCCAGCCGCAUGAAAAAGAGCAAUAACAGGUCUGUGAUGCCCUUAGAUGUCCGGGGCUGCACGCGCGCUACACUGAAAGAAUCAGCGUGUACGUUACCUGGCUCGAAAGAGUCGGGUAAUCCGGUGAAAAUCUUUCGUUAUUGGGAUCGGGACUUGCAAUUAUUUCCCUUGAACGAGGAAUCCCUAGUAAGUGCGGGUCAUCAGCUCGCGCUGAUUACGUCCCUGCCCUUUGUACACACCGCCCGUCGCUGCCCGGAACUGAGCCGUUUCGAGAAACAUGGAGACUGUCUACUUGAGGUCUUCACGGACUUUUUGUAGAUGGAAACCGC